rnacentral:rRNA from 1 species
UACGAGGGGUGCAAGCGUUGUUCGGAAUCACUGGGCGUAAAGGGAGCGUAGGCGGAAUGACAAGCAUGCUGUAUAAUCCCGGGGCCCAACCCCGGUUCUGCAGUUUGGACUGUUAUUCUUGAGUUAUUCAGAGGCAAGCGGAAUUCCUGGUGUAGCGGUGGAAUGCGUAGAUAUCAGGAAGAACACCAAUGGCGAAGGCAGCUUGCUGGGGAUAAACUGACGCUGAGGCUCGAAAGCGUGGGUAGCAAACAGG